rnacentral:rRNA from 1 species
UACGAAGGGGGCUAGCGUUGUUCGGAAUCACUGGGCGUAAAGGGCGCGUAGGCGGCCAUAUAAGUCGGGGGUGAAAGCCUGUGGCUCAACCACAGAAUUGCCUUCGAUACUGUAGAGCUUGAGACCGGAAGAGGUAAGUGGAACUGCGAGUGUAGAGGUGAAAUUCGUAGAUAUUCGGCGGAACACCAGUGGCGAAGGCGACUCACUGGCCCGAUACUGACGCUGAGGUGCGAAAGCGUGGGGAGCAAACAGG